UACAGAGGGGGCAAGCGUUGUUCGGAAUUACUGGGCGUAAAGGGCGCGUAGGCGGCCCGCUAAGUCGAACGUGAAAUCCCCAGGCUCAACCUGGGAACUGCGUCCGAUACUGGCAGGCUUGAAUCCGGGAGAGGGAUGUGGAAUUCCGGGUGUAGCGGUGGAAUGCGUAGAGAUCCGGAAGAACACCGGUGGCGAAGGCGGCCUGCUGGGCAGUUUAGCUGACACUGAGGCGCGACAGCGUGGGGAGCAAACAGG
rnacentral:rRNA from 1 species